CCCCCCUCCCCACCUCAAAAAUUUAAUCCAUCACACGUGCACUGAUAAUUCAAACAGUUGCAUCAUAUUACGGUAUCCUUCAAAAGGAGUGGUUUGCUUGACCACAGCAAUUGAGAGGUUGGGGUAGUUUUUUUUAAGUAUUUUAGUCGCAAGGCUGGCAAAAAUACCUCAGACGAAUGGCUGAGAAGAAGAUUCAUCAGAUGGAUAUAGUUUGGUGUGCAAACCAUGAAGGUGGCUGUAAAUGGAUAGGCCAAGAAAAGCAUCUUGCAGAGGACCAUGCAAACAGAUGCAAUUUCAGGCGCAUCAUAUGUUCCUGCUGCAAUGUCACGAUACCGAAGGGGUACUACUAUAGCCACAUUCUGCAUUGCUGCAGAAAUAGAAUGGAGAAUGAGUUAAUUGGAAGGAGGAAGGAGAAAUUGUAGAGGAUGGCUCUCAUCAUGAUGAGUGGCUUUCUUCUUUGGAUCCAUGUCCAAAUUCACACCUAGGGUGUAAAUGGCGAGGUACACCUGCCAUGCUUAUAAAGGUACACCAAUUCCAAUGUAACAAGGAGUUCAAACCCUGUGCUGUUUGUGGGGAAAUAUGUUUAAAAGGGCAACUCAGUUCCCAUAUUCUUAACGAUUGUUCCUUGAGGCUUAGUCAUGUUGAAGGAACAUUUGGGGAUGGGAUUUGCACUUUCAAUGCAAAAUCUAUUGAAGAAAAAAUGGAUACCACCGAGCCAAAUGAAGAAAAAGCGAUGGAUGUAGAUGAGUAAAAUAAGUAAAAUGUUAAAAAUUAUUAUAUUUCAUUUAAAAAGAGAAAUUUUCCCCAAAACAUUUAAUGUAGAAAAUAGUUAUAAUAUUAAUAAUAUUAUAGAAUAAUAAUAAUAACGUAAUAAUUAAUAGGUAAAGUAACAUGUUAAACAUGAUAUUAUCUUUUUAUCCCCUUCAGUGUUAUUUAUAGCAGGUAUAGCUAGCAGUCACACAAAACUUGGCUUACUUAAAAUCAUUGAAGCAAGCUAAUAGUUGUAAAAUGAACUGCUUGUCAGGUAUUUUAAAAUCCUUAGCUGGUCAUAUGGUUCAAAACAAUUGGAAAGCUUUUUAAGAAAAGUUGUCAAUCAAUGGGAGAAGAUUAUUUUAUAUUCCCCAGAUUGGGAUUUAAAGACCAUUUUUAAUACUGUGAAUGUUAAUUGUUAUGAGCUGUCAUUUGGCAAGUGUUAGGUUUCCAGUCAAACCACCUCAAGCUUGAACAUGUAGAGGCAGACAUUUAUAAUGGCUUCCUAUUUUUGGAUUCCUGAUUUCUUUUUUUAUUUCAAUCAUUCAUUAUUGAAAACUAAUCUUCAAUAUUCAAAAGAUAAUAAUAGUUUGAAAAUUUGUUUAACUUGGCUCGUAGGCUCUUGUUUAUAGCAGAAACGGAAGGCAAGCCAUUAAUAUUACAUAUUCCUUGCACAAAACGCUCUUGCAUUUUAGCUAUAUAUUAUGCUGAUGGCUUUGGUAUAUGCUAGGCUUUGAAGACUUUAUUUCAAUAAUGAAUGUUCAAAUAGAAAAAUGAAAUCAAGAAUCCAAAAAUAAAGUCAUUAAUGACCUCUACGUGUUCACAUUUGAGUUGGUUCGUAAUGUAAUGUACGCUGUCAAUUCUGCAUAUGGCACAGUCGAUCUUUCAAAUUUCUAUACUGAGGCUACAGAGAUUUUUAACAAGUUGAAACCUCACAAAAUAAAUUCAUAAUUAGUUUAAAGACCCAUUGCCACUUACCGUGAUGCACCAUGGUCACAGAUAAAUUUCAUGGUCCAUGAUUAUAUUAAAUCCUUUUCCGACAUAGCACUAAGGCACAAUAAUGAUUCUUUUACAUUCUUUUACGGCUUUAGGGACUAUCUAAGAGUUUAUUCAAAAUGUUGGAAUUGUUUUUUCAGUGGAGUCACGAUUCAAAAUGUAAACAAAUUGUGAUGCAUCAUGGUAAGUAGCAAUGGGUCUUUAAUACGAAAGUUUGAGGUUUCAAAUAUUGUGGCCUAUAUAUAUAUGCUUAAUGGUUUUUAUAAAAUAUUUUUCAGCAUAUAUUUUUAGAAAAAUGAAUGGUUUUGGAAAUUUGGUUUCGUCAUAUUAUAUGUAUUAGGUAUACUGUCAAACAAAUUGAAAAAAAAUUCUUAACUAUUCCUUGUUGUUAUACAUUGACAGUUAUCUUUUUCAUAAUCCAUGCUUCACAUAAAUGUUUAACAGUAUUAUUUGAGAAAAGGUUAUUGAUCGCAGUACCCUUUCCUCUGGAAAGUAUCAUAUAUUAUGAAAUCAAAAAUCUUGAACUCAAAGCAAAAAUAUUUUGAAUUUGGAAAUAUUUCAACUUUUAUAUAUCUCACAGCUUUCAUCAGUCCUUCAUCAGUCCCACAGCCUUGACUUAUUUCUGUAAUCACGGAACGUUGAUUAGAAAUUAUUAGAAAUUAACUUAGUUUCAUAUUUAUUGUGUGGUUCCAGAAAAUAUCCAUACCUCCACCACCAUGGUUGGAAUUGGUAAAACGAUCCGGCCCUCCUACCCCCAGGAACUUCCAAUUUUCUUCUAUACAAACUCUGUAAUUUUGUUCUGUCUCUGACCCCGUCCCCUCCAGAAUUUCCAAUUUCCCCAUGCAUGGGUCGGGCAUGAAUAUUUUCUGGAACUACUCAUCGAUUUAUUAUAAUUAAUUGGAUUGAUUAUUUAAAAUUAACAAAAAUUAAUUGAAUAUUUAAAACUAGCAAAAAUACUCAUGUUUCAAGUUGUCAGUUCAGUGCAUAUAUUAUUUACAGCCUACUUAUAAAAGUUGAUUUUCACGAGAAAGCUGCAAUUAAGACUGCCACGUACGUACUCUGACAACCAUUCGUCUAGUGAUCACAUUCAAGAAUUUUGACAGAUACCGAAAAAACUCUUUGAGUUAAUUUAAAAACUUGAGAAAUGUAUAUAUGUAUAGAGAGAAAUUUAAUUUUUGCAAAAGUUAGUGGUUUUCCUGUAGUGUAAUAGUUUUUGACUAAAGUAGAGGCAAACACUCAGGGAAUUAGGAUUAGAAAACCUGAAACAUGAGUAUUUUUUUAUCUGAAUCUUUGAUCUAUAUAUAGACCAAAGAUAUCCAUGUCUCUGGCCUGUACGUACCUCAAAAAUAAAUCAAAAGUCUCUCGGGCAUUCACUGAUUUAAAAAUAAGAUGACUGUUAUUCAUCAUUUACCAUACAUUGGUUCACUGGUCAAACACAAAGCGCUCAAACGAGGCACCAAGGUACUUUCAAAGGAUUAUUCAAAUUUGAACCUUGCAACCUCGACUGAGUGCUUUGUGUUUGACCAGUGAACCGAUGCAUGGAAAACGGURAAUAGAAGUUCAUUUAGCGAUAAAUAAUGACUUACACAAAAUUUUAAUAGUUUUUAGUUUUUAUGCGCUCUAUUAAUAUGUUGCCAAUUAUUUAUUUUUAGGGAGCGUUCAUAAUAAUUAUUGAUUUUAUAUGUUAUGAUAUUUAAUAGUGUCUACUGAAAGUCUAUUUUUGGGGGUCACUAAAAAAUGUUGUUUGAGUGGCAGGCCACACAAAAAAAAAAUAAUUUCAAAAUAUAUAAUCCCCAAAGUCCCCCCCAUCCAUAGAUUAUGAAUGCUCCCUUAUAUGUUAGCUUAAAGCAUUAUUUUCUUAAAGUAGAUGUUUUAUAUAAAAAUAUAUCAUUCUUUGUUGUAUUUUACAUUUUUUUCAAUUUCAGUUUAUUAUUUAAWAUUCCAUAUUAACCUUGAAAAAGCGUUCGCGAGUAUAUUUUUGUGAGACCAAGAUACUGUAUUAAAAAAGGAAAAUGUGAAAGAAUAAGCCUUAAGUUUUGCAUACGCACUUAAAGCAUUGGGUAGAUGUUUUUCACUUGUGUCAAUUAGACCCAUAGCCUGCAUGUAUAGGCUACAGAUCGAAAGCCCUCUAGACACCAAACUGGUCUAUUUAACCCCAUAGCUCAUGCAUGAGUAAGAGUGAUUUUACUUGGCCUGAAAACAAACUAGUAGAACUAGUGAUCAUACUUUUUAUGGGCCAAGUAAAAUUGCUCUGGUACAAAAACUAGUUGGACUGUUAGUAGUAUUUGUUACAAAAUGAUAUUUUUCUACCUGACCAUUGAAUAUGGGAAAUAGACCACUAGUAGAGGCAAUCAGAAUGCAGGAUUUGUAACAAAAUGAUAUUUUCCUACCUGACCAUUGAAUAUGGAAAAUAGACCACUAGUAGAGCCAAUCAGAAUGCAGGAUUUGUAAUAGAGGUAUUGCACCACCACGUGACAUGUUGGAUGGCAGGAACAAUACAUCAUUUUACUUUUUUUUGAGAAAGAAUUCAAUUCCCAAGAGCAAAGGGAUUCUAUUGUUCUGYGAUCUAACCACAGGCAGCCCAAGCUGUAUUAUUGGCGUGGGCAUGGGAUGUUGCAAAACCUCUACAGUCCACUAGUUUGUUCAUUCUAAAAUUCAUUUAUUGCUGGGUUCCACUUGGUAUCAUUUCCUGUAGAAUAAAAUUCUCUCGGGUUGACAGCACAUGGUGGUCAGCAUUAUUUUGACAAUAAUUUGAAGAAGAUAAUGAGAUUCAAAGACUUUUAUCAGCUGAUUGAAACCCAGCAAUUCUUUUAAAGCCCACAGUUCUACUUUUAGUGAAACUUUCUUGUGGCAUAAGUUUCACCCUAAGUUGCGCUGUCUAAUGCCCAUGAAACUAAAUUGUCUCCCAACGGCAUUGCAUGCAAGUUUCAGCUAAAAGUUUCAAUAUGUAACAAGGCCUUUACUAUUCUAAGGACAAUGUGUAUUGAUGGUUAUCCCUUCGCCAUCAAAAAAGAGAAGGGAAUCUAUGACUCAUUCUGUUUUCCUAUGAUCCAUAUAAUAUAUUGUAAUUGUAAUUUUUUUAUUUUUAGUUAAUUUAGCAACACAGCUAAUUAUUGUGUUGCAUUUUUUCAACUAAACAUGCUAAAUUCUCAUUCAAUGUUUGAGUUACAAGAGGUUGUUUUCAGGGACACUUGAUAAAAUUGUUGUUUGGUUUAGCUUGAGUUACGGCAUUAUGGAUUAAAGGAAAGAUAGGAGAGCUUAAGAUGAACAAUAAUGAAAAUGCAUUACAGUCAAAACCACCUCAGGCGUCAUUAUUUGAUUCGAACAUUCAUUAUCAAAAUGAAGUCUUCAAAGCCUAGUGAAAGGAAUAUUUGUAAUAUCAAUGACUCAUGUUUCCGUUAUGAACAAGAGCCUAAGAGCCAAGUUAUUUGAAUUUUCAAACUAUUCUUUUUUUCUUAAUAUUAAAGACUUUUUUUCAAUAAUGAUGAAUGUUCAGAUCGAAUAAUAAAAUCAAAAUUCCAAAAAUAAGGUCUUUAAUGACCUCUACGUGUUCACGCUUGAGAUGGUUUGACUGUAAUUAAUAACAGUUUCAAAUUGCUUGAUUGGAACAAGAUUUCUCAAAUUUACUAAUAUUUCAUGGAAAAAAGUAAAAAAGUAAUUAAUACAGCAAUUGUGUUUAGAUGGAAUUUUGCAGUGAACUUGCCUACAGACUGAAUUGCAUACGCAAACUUGCCUAUCUAUAAGCCAAGUUGAUCCUUGGGCAAGUUCCCUGUAAUUCAGAAGAACUUCUGAAGGUGCAUUUACUGGAUACCAUUUGGGAUAUGCGAUCUCGAAUACCAUAAAGCUUUGUCAACUUUUGCUUUGAUUUUCUUCAAGAAAUAUUAAUAGUUUGAGAACUGAUAAAAAACAUGAAAGAAACACCUCAAAGUUGGUUAUGGCUAGGCCUACUUUUCUAUCAACCCACAUCUCAACAUUUGGAUAUUGAAUGAGACACUUUCUUGUCUAAUGAUCUAAAAAUAGUGUCUGAUUUGAUUGGUCAUCAAGCACACUUAUUUACUAGGUAAACUGUAUCUUUAAUAAUAUGUUGAUUUUGGUUGUGAUGAGCUGGCAACUGAUCGAUUGUUGAAGAAACGACUAGUUUAAAGGUGUGUUUUGAACAAUCAUAGCUAUUCUUACCCCAAAUCUUUUUUACAAAUUAUUUGCAAUAAAAGAGUACAUUAUCUCGUA